rnacentral:rRNA from 1 species
GCAGUCGAACGAGUUCUCGUUGAUGAUCGGUGCUUGCACCGAGAUUCAACAUGGAACGAGUGGCGGACGGGUGAGUAACACGUGGGUAACCUGCCCUUAAGUGGGGGAUAACAUUUGGAAACAGAUGCUAAUACCGCAUAGAUCCAAGAACCGCAUGGUUCUUGGCUGAAAGAUGGCGUAAGCUAUCGCUUUUGGAUGGACCCGCGGCGUAUUAGCUAGUUGGUGAGGUAAUGGCUCACCAAGGCGAUGAUACGUAGCCGAACUGAGAGGUUGAUCGGCCACAUUGGGACUGAGACACGGCCCAAACUCCUACGGGAGGCAGCAGUAGGGAAUCUUCCACAAUGGACGCAAGUCUGAUGGAGCAACGCCGCGUGAGUGAAGAAGGCUUUCGGGUCGUAAAACUCUGUUGUUGGAGAAGAAUGGUCGGCAGAGUAACUGUUGUCGGCGUGACGGUAUCCAACCAGAAAGCCACGGCUAACUACGUGCCAGCAGCCGCGGUAAUACGUAGGUGGCAAGCGUUAUCCGGAUUUAUUGGGCGUAAAGCGAGCGCAGGCGGUUUUUUAAGUCUGAUGUGAAAGCCCUCGGCUUAACCGAGGAAGCGCAUCGGAAACUGGGAAACUUGAGUGCAGAAGAGGACAGUGGAACUCCAUGUGUAGCGGUGAAAUGCGUAGAUAUAUGGAAGAACACCAGUGGCGAAGGCGGCUGUCUGGUCUGCAACUGACGCUGAGGCUCGAAAGCAUGGGUAGCGAACAGGAUUAGAUACCCUGGUAGUCCAUGCCGUAAACGAUGAAUGCUAGGUGUUGGAGGGUUUCCGCCCUUCAGUGCCGCAGCUAACGCAUUAAGCAUUCCGCCUGGGGAGUACGACCGCAAGGUUGAAACUCAAAGGAAUUGACGGGGGCCCGCACAAGCGGUGGAGCAUGUGGUUUAAUUCGAAGCAACGCGAAGAACCUUACCAGGUCUUGACAUCUUUUGAUCACCUGAGAGAUCAGGUUUCCCCUUCGGGGGCAAAAUGACAGGUGGUGCAUGGUUGUCGUCAGCUCGUGUCGUGAGAUGUUGGGUUAAGUCCCGCAACGAGCGCAACCCUUAUGACUAGUUGCCAGCAUUUAGUUGGGCACUCUAGUAAGACUGCCGGUGACAAACCGGAGGAAGGUGGGGAUGACGUCAAAUCAUCAUGCCCCUUAUGACCUGGGCUACACACGUGCUACAAUGGAUGGUACAACGAGUUGCGAGACCGCGAGGUCAAGCUAAUCUCUUAAAGCCAUUCUCAGUUCGGACUGUAGGCUGCAACUCGCCUACACGAAGUCGGAAUCGCUAGUAAUCGCGGAUCAGCACGCCGCGGUGAAUACGUUCCCGGGCCUUGUACACACCGCCCGUCACACCAUGAGAGUUUGUAACACCCGAAGCCGGUGGCGUAACCCUUUUAGGGAGCGAGCCGUCUAA